rnacentral:rRNA from 1 species
GACGAACGCUGGCGGCGUGCUUAACACAUGCAAGUCGAACGAGGUCCAAGGUGUAGCAAUACACUGGAAGAUCUAGUGGCGAACGGGUGCGUAACACGUGAGGAACUUGUCCCGGUCUCUGGGAUAACAGUUGGAAACGACUGCUAAUACCGGAUGACGUCGGAGCGUCGCAUGGCGCGCUGACGAAAGGGUUACUGGAUCGGGAGAGCCUCGCGGCCUAUCAGCUUGUUGGUGGGGUAACGGCCUACCAAGGCAUCGACGGGUAGCUGGUCUGAGAGGAUGAUCAGCCACACUGGGACUGAGACACGGCCCAGACUCCUACGGGAGGCAGCAGUGGGGAAUCUUGCGCAAUGGGCGAAAGCCUGACGCAGCAACGCCGCGUGCG